rnacentral:rRNA from 1 species
UACGUAGGUGGCAAGCGUUGUCCGGAAUUAUUGGGCGUAAAGCGCGCGCAGGCGGUCCUUUAAGUCUGAUGUGAAAGCCCACGGCUCAACCGUGGAAGGUCAUUGGAAACUGGAGGACUUGAGUACAGAAGAGGAAAGCGGAAUUCCACGUGUAGCGGUGAAAUGCGUAGAGAUGUGGAGGAACACCAGUGGCGAAGGCGGCUUUCUGGUCUGUAACUGACGCUGAGGCGCGAAAGCGUGGGGAGCAAACAGG